rnacentral:rRNA from 1 species
AUUGAACGCUGGCGGCGUGCUUUACACAUGCAAGUCGGACGAGUGGCGAACGGGUGAGUAACGCAUCGGAACGUAACGAGUAAUGGGGGAUAACUGUCCGAAAGGACAGCUAAUACCGCAUAUUAUUCGAGCGGCCGAUGUCUGAUUCUCUGCUUGGGGGGGUAAAGGCCCCCCAAGGCGACGAUCAGUAGCGGGGCUGAGAGGAUGAUCAGACACACUGGUACUGUGACACGUCCCAGACGCCUACGGGAGGAAGCAGUGGGUAUUUUUGGACAAUGGGCGCAAGCCUGAUCCAGCCAUGCCGCGUGUCUGAAGAAGGCCUUCGGGUUGUAAAGGACUUUUGUCAGGGAAGCGGUACCUGAAGAAUAAGCACCGGCUAACUACGGGCCAGCAGCCGCGGUAAUUC